GGGGGUUAAAUUUUUCUCAUUUCAGAUUUCAUAAAUAAAAAGAAAAUUUCUUCAAACAUUUUUUUGAGUGGAUUAAUAUUCAACAGCAAAGUGAAUUGCUCAAAGGAAAUAAAAAUAUUUUAAGUUCAUUAGACCACAUUCAUUCUGUGUCAGAAACCUAUGCUGUGUUAACUAUUUUGUUGUUGGGAUGUACAAGUACCCGGCCACGACCACUCUGUGUUUUAGGUUAGAUGUAUUUCUAUUUGUAUCCAUCUCGUGAGUUGAGCCUUUUUCAAAUGAUUUUUACAGUUCGUUCAAUUCUUAUGUUGUACUAUUACAGCACGGUCCCAGGUUAGGAGAGGGUAAGAUCCCGCUAACAUGUUUACCCCCGCCAAAUUCUGUAUGUAUGUGCUUGUCUCAAGUCAGGAGCCUGUAAUUCAGUUGUUGUAAUUUGUUGUUGUGUUACAUAUUUGUUUUUCGUUCAUUUUUUUGUACAUUAAUUAAGCCGUUAGUUUUCUCGUUUGAAUUGUUUUACAUUUGUCAUUUCGGGGCCUUUCAUAGCUGACUAUGCGGUAUGGACUUUGCCCAUUGUUGAAGGCCGUACGGUGACCUAUCGUUGUUAUUUUCUGUGUCUCUUGUAAAGAGUUGUCUCAUUGGCAAUCAUACCACAUCUUCUUUUUUAUAAUUAGUCUUAGGGUGAUCCAUAAAAUAUAUUCAUUACUCGUUAACCUUUUAGAAGCAUUUGAUGGUACAUUAUAUAGAUUUGGGAUUUGCUUUGUUUAUGCCAUAUAGUGACCGGGCUAUUUAUAUCUAUCUGUUUCAAUUGAUCAAAACUGUAGUAGAUAGGGAUAAACGAUAUGCUACCAAUCCAAUAAACGAUUUUAAAUGGAAUGUAUUGAAAUGAGAAAUCAUUCGUAUUGAAAGAAGAGUCGAAUAAAUUUACAUUGAGCGUAUUAUCUUAUAGAGUUGAAAAGGAAUGUGUAUACAAUGAGUUAUAGAGUGUACAUAAACCAGACAGCAAAUCAGCAAUUCGGAAUCCUCACAAGAAUAUAUGUGAAUCAAUAAACAGUCUUUCACAAAGAUAUUAUAAUUUAAUGUUUAGUAAAUAUUUGAACUCUGGUUAAUAUGGGAUUAAGUUAUGAAAUUGUGUACAGAAAAAAAAUUAAUGACGCAAGGUUAUUUGAAAAAUGCCUUUUUUUUAUUAUCUGCAGUUAUAUUAGAACAUAUGUAAUUGUAAAAAGUUAUUGAUGCUUUGGGUAUACAUUCAUGAAGGUAAUUGAACUUUUUGAGAAAGGUCAAUAAGUCAAGAUAAACUGACAAAUUGUAUGUCAGAGUGAUACUGUAAAAAUGUGGUUUUCCUUGUUUAAGUGUUGAAUCGAUAGACAUUUUUGGGAACUUGUAUGAACACUUUUUGUUUAAAUUUUGUAUAAGCUAGCUUUGUCAAUAAUUCUGAAGAAAUGUACAUUUGUGAAUAAAC
rnacentral:lncRNA from 1 species